UUGAUCCUGCCAGUAGUCAUAUGCUUGUCUCAAAGAUUAAGCCAUGCAUGUCUCAGUACAAGCCACAUUAAGGUGAAACCGCGAAAGGCUCAUUAAAUCAGUUAUGGUUCCUUAGAUCGUACCCACAUUUACUUGGAUAACUGUGGUAAUUCUAGAGCUAAUACAUGCAAACAGAGUUCCGACCGGAGACGGGAGGAAUGCUUUUAUUAGAUCAAAACCAAUCGGCGGCGGGUGCGUUCGCGCGCGCGUUCGCCGCUCAACCUGGUGACUCUGAAUAACUUUCGGCUGAUCGCACGGUCCAGCACCGGCGACGCAUCUUUCAAAUGUCUGCCUUAUCAACUGUCGAUGGUAGGUUCUGCGCCUACCAUGGUCGUAACGGGUAACGGGGAAUCAGGGUUC
rnacentral:rRNA from 1 species